rnacentral:rRNA from 1 species
UUCCGUAGGGGGAACCUGCGGAGGGAUCAUUGCUGGAACGCGCCCCAGGCGCACCCAGAAACCCUUUGUGAACUUAUACCUUUUGUUGCCUCGGCGCAUGCUGGCCUCUAGUAGGCCCCUCACCCCGGUGAGGAGAAGGCACGCCGGCGGCCAAGUUAACUCUUGUUUUUACACUGAAACUCUGAGAAAAAACACAAAUGAAUCAAAACUUUCAACAACGGAUCUCUUGGUUCUGGCAUCGAUGAAGAACGCAGCGAAAUGCGAUAAGUAAUGUGAAUUGCAGAAUUCAGUGAAUCAUCGAAUCUUUGAACGCACAUUGCGCCCUCUGGUAUUCCGGAGGGCAUGCCUGUUCGAGCGUCAUUUCAACCCUCAAGCAUUGCUUGGUGUUGGGGCACUGCUUCUAACGAAGCAGGCCCUGAAAUCUAGUGGCGAGCUCGCCAGGACCCCGAGCGUAGUAGUUAAACCCUCGCUCUGGAAGGCCCUGGCGGUGCCCUGCCGUUAAACCCCCAACUUUUGAAAAUUUGACCUCGGAUCAGGUAGCAUUC